UUAGCGGCGGACGGGUGAGUAACACGUGGGUAACCUGCCCAUAAGACUGGGAUAACUCCGGGAAACCGGGGCUAAUACCGGAUAACAUUUUGAACCGCAUGGUUCGAAAUUGAAAGGCGGCUUCGGCUGUCACUUAUGGAUGGACCCGCGUCGCAUUAGCUAGUUGGUGAGGUAACGGCUCACCAAGGCAACGAUGCGUAGCCGACCUGAGAGGGUGAUCGGCCACACUGGGACUGAGACACGGCCCAGACUCCUACGGGAGGCAGCAGUAGGGAAUCUUCCGCAAUGGACGAAAGUCUGACGGAGCAACGCCGCGUGAGUGAUGAAGGCUUUCGGGUCGUAAAACUCUGUUGUUAGGGAAGAACAAGUGCUAGUUUGAAUAAGCUGGCACCUUGACGGUACCUAACCAGAAAGCCACGGCUAACUACGUGCCAGCAGCCGCGGUUAAUACGUAGGUGGCAAGCGUUAUCCGGAAUUUAUUGGGCGUAAA
rnacentral:rRNA from 1 species